rnacentral:rRNA from 1 species
UACGGGGGGGGGCAAGCGUUGUUCGGAAUUACUGGGCGUAAAGGGCUCGUAGGCGGCCAACUAAGUCGGACGUGAAAUCCCUCGGCUCAACCGGGGAACUGCGUCCGAUACUGGAUGGCUUGAGUUCGGGAGAGGGAUGCGGAAUUCCAGGUGUAGCGGUGAAAUGCGUAGAUAUCUGGAGGAAUACCGGUGGCGAAGGCGGCAUCCUGGACCGGCAUUGACGCUGAGUGAGCGAAAGCCAGGGGAGCAAAGCGGG